GGUCAUAUUAUCUACUUGGUGAGGUAAUGGCUCACCAAGGCUACGAUGGGUAGGGGUUCUUAGUGGAAGAUCCCCCCCACUGGCACUGAGAUACGGGCCAGACUCCUACGGGAGGCAGCAGUAGGGAAUAUUGGUCAAUGGGCGCAAGCCUGAACCAGCCAUGCCGCGUGCAGGAUGAAGGCUCUCUGAGUUGUAAACUGCUUUUGUACAGGAGCAAAAAAAUCCCUGCGGGGGUUCUUGAGAGUACUGUAAGAAUAAGCACCGGCUAAUUCCGUGCCAGCAGCCGCGGUAAUACGGAAGGUGCAAGCGUUAUCCGGUUUUAUUGGGUUUAAAGGGUGCGUAGGCGGCUUAUUAAGUCAGUUGUGAAAUCCUAGUGCUUAACGCUAGAACUGCGAUUGAUACUAUU
rnacentral:rRNA from 1 species